AUUUAUAGUUGAGGACAAUUUUAGAAAUAAUAAAUUAGUAAAAAGAAGAACGAAACAAACGGAAAAAAGAGAGAGAAAAGGAAAAUUCGGAGUUGACAAUUUCAUCCAAUCCCCCGGCGGCGGCGGAGGCUGUAGAUUCGUCCCUACGACGUUGGAAUUCUCAGCUCGACGGUACGAUCAACGAAGAGACCAAAUCCGAAAUUCCCUCAAUCGAAGCUCCGCCAUGGUGUUGAACAGUCCUCUUGUUCUUUGGGUCGCCAAUAUUUCUGCCGAUCUCUGUCAAUACAUUGCUUGUAAUCCCGAGCGCUUCAGCAGCCACCAUGUUCUUUACCUCAUCUUCUGUUUCCCUUUCCGCCAUUUCCGCCGUAUCUCCCUUUCCAUUUUCUCCUCUCUCUGCCUUCCUUCUCUUCUCUCCUCUUCUUCCUCUUCAUCCUCCGAUUCCAAUUCCGAUUCCGAUACCGACGACCUCGAUUCCUACGACUACAAUUCUCAUUCCGAUUGAUUUCCUCUACUCUAUUCUAUUUUACCCUUUUCAUCUCUUUCUGGGUUGUAGUAUAAUGAUUGUUUAUUCAAUUGGAUGUUUGAUCUCUCUUGUAAAAACUUUAUUCUAUCUUUAUAGUUUAUACUAAUGAAAACUAGACGCGUGAUAUUGUAAAUUUCUUUGUUUCUCUUUCGUUUAACGUUUUGUUUGACUGGUGAAGCUUAGGGAUUGAUUGAAAGGAUGCAUUCCAUGUACCUUGGCAGGGUUUUUGUUCUUUGAUUAUGUUUAAUCAUUGGUCUGGUUAUUGAUGUUGUUGAUUAAUUCUUAGUUUUAUUUUUAUUAUUGUCUCUUAGGAAUGAAGAAAUUGGAUUCUAUAAGUAAUUUUUGUUGCAGGAUUGCUUGGAUAUGGCUCAUCUUGUUUUCUUUUGGUUACGGCUGCUCCAGAUUACGUGGAAUACAUGUACCAAAUAGUAAUGUUUCUACCUUCUUCUGCCCUUUAUACAUUACUUGAGAUGGGGCUAGUGUUUGAUUGAUUUAAUAUGUUGCACUUCUUGCAAUUUUUCAUCAUAAACUCUGGUGGGCAUAUUUUACCCUAUCUUGUACUAUGUUUUAUAUAGUUUCCAUGCCACGUGGUUUAUCUAGUUUCUUCUUGAGCUGAUUUUGAUAUUAAGUGGAAUCUUUGCUUUUGAGGCUCUUAUCGAGUUUUUGAUCAAUGUAGAUACAAUGCAGGCAUCGUUAGUCCCAUGUGAAGACCGUAAGCUGGGGUCUUGAUUCUAUUCAAGUGCUUUCUUUCAAAUCUUUGUUGAAAUUCCUUUCCAAAUCGUGUUCAUCACUUUUAAUGAUCUUAAUGGCUUAAUCUUUGAAAGUUCAUGCAUCUUCGUUGGCUUUUGGUGUUAAGUAGUCAUGAUUUAUUUGAUAUCUACCAAAGAAAAGUCCUUUACUUUCUGUCGAAUGUGAUUCUAAAUCUUGGCUAAUUAGUAUUUAUUUACUUUCCAUUUGGUGAGGGAAGUUAAUUAAUAUUUAUUUACUUUCCAUUUGGUGAGGGAAGUUAAUUAGUAUUUAUUUACUUUCCAUUUGGUGAGAGAAGUUUAGUUCAAACUCCUUUUUCAAGUUGAUGUUUCUUAUUUUAUACUUAAAGCUGCAAGCUUCCAUCUGAAGAAGAGUGUUCUUUUGGGACUCUCUUAUUCUGGUGCUUAUUUGGUGUUGUGAUUAGACUUAGAGAUAAGAGGGCUUUAUGGAUUAGAUUAAGUCAAAUUUGGCAAAGGUUGAAGUUUGCUCUCAUUUAGGAUUAAAAAUGUUAAAAUGGUCGAUUUGUUUCUUCUUUUGCUAAUCUGUAUUUAUUGGGUUUGUUUCUUCUUUUGCUGGUUUGCAUCAUCAUACACGAAACUCUUUUCUGUAAAUUCUCCCAUUUUCUUUUGUGCACAAUUCCCGUGUUGCUUCAAAUUUUAUUAUGAAAUAGGUGUUUGUCCCUCUAUUUGGUCUUCCCGUUUCUAUCUUACUAAGCAGGCAUGAGGAACGUAAAUGCCAAAAAGCGCCUUCCCCCUUUUUGUUAAAAAGUCUCGGACAUGUUAGAAGGUGAAAAGUUUAGUUGAUGGAAGCUGUAUGCAUUGCCUUCAUUGAUGUCAGACAAUUGUAUGUACAUAAAGAGAUUUAUACAUGCAUAUUAAAGUUUAAUAUUGGAUACACAAUAAAGAAAAAUUUAACAAGUCUAGCUUCAUGAAAUUACAAUUAACCAUGGCAUGAUUUAACUCUUCGUUACUCGUAUAAAUGAUCACAUGGUCUGAAACUCUAUUCUGUCGAAAGCUUGUGGUUAGAGGUUGAUAUUCAAUGUUUGAGGAGGUAUUUUUUAAUCAUCUUUUUCAUGACAAAGGAAGGGUACUUUGGCAUCUUUUUUUUUCCUCUCACUUUGUUGGGGGUAUUAGGCUUGAGAAGAAUAGUAGAAUCUCUAGGAUGUGAUUAGGAUUAAGUUUAACACAUCCAUGUAGGCGUUGGCUAAUACAAUUCUUUUGUAGCUAUCAUUUUGGUAUUAUAUUAUUUUUUAUGGGAACCUCUUUCUGUAAUUGAGCGUGAAGAGCUUUUUUGUUCAAAGGUUUGUUGUUUCUUGCAGAGGGAAAAAAAAAUUCACUGUACCUUCUUCAUGGUCGGAUAUCCGUCCUGUUUUAGUUUUAGCAUUUGCUAUGUGACUAUUACAUUAUCUAUUUGAUUGUUUCAUCCCUACUUUAUGUGCAUGUCCUUUUUAUAUUUUUUUCUCAAGAGCCUGUUCAUUUUGACUUACAGCUUGUUGAAGUCGCUUUUCGAUUUUACUUGUUAUUCUUACCUCACUGCAGCCUGAUGGUCGCUCUUGACCUUAACUUAGCUAUUCAUGGGUUGUGUUAAUCUGAAGCCAAAUGAACAUCACAAAAUUGAGUGUUGGGUCCAUUCUGCCUUCAGUUGGUCGUUGAUGAUGGUUAGAGAAUUCUGGCAGCAGUACGCUAUUGCUUUCAGCUUCUCAGCGUCUAAAGUUGAGCCUGGUUAGCUAAAACAAAUCUGCCCUCUUCGGUUGCAUAUUUUAUUUAUGUUGUUUACUGUUAUAUGUAAUCUAUGAUGAAAGUAAUUCUCUUCAUUUAUAUACCAGGGUUUUCUUUCUUUCUUUCCUGAACGCUGAAACUCGAUUUAUAAUUAAAGAAAUACCAGAUCUAUGAUUAGUAGCAGUUUGUUACUAUCUUAUUUCAAAAAUUGGUUUUGUUUAGCUGUUUGCCACUUGGAGUAGGUGAAUGAAUUUGGCAUAUUUAUUGAAAAAGACUAUAGUAGGUGAUGGUUUUCAAUGCUUGGGCUUGAUGGGAAGACCUCUCUCUCUCUCUCUCUGCCCCCACAUGCUGGAAAAGCUUCUUAUUUUCUGCCAACGGUGGAGUCUCCAAUUGUGCUGUGUUUAAAGAGCUUCUUACUGAGGUGAUGUAAGUGCGUGUAAAGUAGGGAAUUGUUUGGAGAGCUGAAAUUUUGAGAAUGAGAGUAGUGUUAAAAAACGCAAGUAAGAAAAAAUUAUAAUGAAAAUGAAAUCGUUAAAUAUGAAAACAAUUAGAGAGAAAAUUUUGGAUUGAAAACUGUUGGAACGAGAUCAAUUGUGUAGUAUAAAAAAUCCAACUUAUUCUUGAGCCUUAAAAACUUGACCUUUUGCAUAAUAAAUGAAUGAUAACAAUAGAAGAUUCUCUCUA